rnacentral:rRNA from 1 species
AUUGAACGCUGGCGGCAUGCUUUACACAUGCAAGUCGAACGGCAGCACGGGGGCAACCCUGGUGGCGAGUGGCGAACGGGUGAGUAAUGCAUCGGAACGUAUCCUUAAGUGGGGGAUAACGCAUCGAAAGAUGCGCUAAUACCGCAUAAUCUCUGAGGAGAAAAGCAGGGGAUCGCAAGACCUUGCGCUUUUGGAGCGGCCGAUAUCUGAUUAGCUAGUUGGUGAGGUAAAGGCUCACCAAGGCGACGAUCAGUAGCUGGUCUGAGAGGACGACCAGCCACACUGGGACUGAGACACGGCCCAGACUCCUACGGGAGGCAGCAGUGGGGAAUUUUGGACAAUGGGCGCAAGCCUGAUCCAGCAAUGCCGCGUGAGUGAAGAAGGCCUUCGGGUUGUAAAGCUCUUUUGUCAGGGAAGAAACGGCCGAGGCUAAUACCUUUGGCUAAUGACGGUACCUGAAGAAUAAGCACCGGCUAACUACGUG